rnacentral:rRNA from 1 species
AUUGAACGCUGGCGGCAGGCCUAACACAUGCAAGUCGAGCGCGCGGCGGGCGGGUGAGUGAUGUCUGUGAGACUGCCUGAUAGAGAGGGAUAACUACUGGAGACGGUAUCUAAUACCCCAUACCAUCACGUGUGACCCUAUGGGAUUAGCUAGUAGGUGGGGUAACGGCUCACCUAGGCGACGAUCUCUAGCUGGUCUGAGAGGAUGACCAGCCACACUGGAACUGAGACACGGUCCAGACUCCUACGGGAGGCAGCAGUGGGGAAUAUUGAACAAUGGGCGCAAGCCUGAUGCAGCCAUGCCGCGUGUGUGAAGAAGGCCUUAGGGUUGUAAAGUACUUUCAGCGGGGAGGCGUUACCCGCAGAAGAAGCACCGGCUAACUCCGUGCCAGCAGCCGCGGUAAUAC